rnacentral:rRNA from 1 species
AUUGAACGCUGGCGGUAUGCUUAACACAUGCAAGUCGAACGAGUGGCGGACGGGUGAGUACUGCAUAGGACUCUACCUUUUAGUCUAGGAUAACUACCCAAAAGGGUGGCUAAUACUGGCUGCUAAGAGCUGAGCCUAUGUGUGAUUAGCUCUUUGGUGGGGUAAUGGCUCACAAAGGCGACGAUCUCUAGCUGGUUUGAGAGGAGGAUCAGCAAAACUGGGCCUGUGACAUGGCCCAGAACCCUACGGGAGGCAGAAGUGGGUAAUAUUGGACAAUGGGCGAAAUCGGGAUCCAGUAACACCGCGUGUGUGAAGAAGGCCCUAGGGUCGUAAAGCACUUUUGGUAGGGAGAUGUUACCUAAAGAAUAAGCACCGGCUAACUCCGUGCCAGCCGCCGCGGUAAUAC